rnacentral:misc_RNA from 1 species
AAAACCCAUAAGUCCUUUUGGAUUUGUGUUGGGCUCUGCAUCCAGGUGCACUGCCUCAAAGAGAUGUGGUCUUGAUUUGCGGACGAGUUCCUGUUGGACUUACCGUGAGUUUGGCCGAUGUCGAAGAGGUUCCUUUUGGGCCUCUGAAU